GCCUGGCUGGCUCAGUUGGAAGAGCAUGAGACUCUUGAUCUCAGCGGUUGUGAGUUCAAGCCUCACAUUGGGCA